rnacentral:rRNA from 1 species
AGCGAACGCUGGCGGCAGGCCUAACACAUACAAGUCGAACGAAGUCUUCGGACUUAGUGGCGGACGGGUGAGUAACACGUGGGAACGUACCUUUUGGUUCGGAACAACUCAGGGAAACUUGAGCUAAUACCGGAUGAGCCCUUAGGGGGAAAGAUUUAUCGCCGAAAGAGCGGCCCGCGUUAGAUUAGCUAGUUGGUGAGGUAAAGGCUCACCAAGGCUACGAUCUAUAGCUGGUCUGAGAGGAUGAUCAGCCACACUGGGACUGAGACACAGCCCAGACUCCUACGGGAGGCAGCAGUGGGGAAUCUUGCGCAAUGGGCGAAAGCCUGACGCAGCCAUGCCACGUGAAUGAUGAAGGUCUUAGGAUUGUAAAAUUCUUUUACCAGGGACGAUAAUGACGGUACCUGGAGAAAAAGCCCCGGCUAACUUCGUGCCAGCCGCCGCGGUAAGAC